GUCCCCAUCGUCUAGCGGUCUAGGACGUCGCCCUUUCAAGGCGGCAACACGGGUUCGAUUCCCGUUGGGGACGCCA
rnacentral:tRNA from 1 species